rnacentral:rRNA from 1 species
UCCUACGGGAGGCAGCAGUGGGGAAUCUUGCACAAUGGGCGAAAGCCUGAUGCAGCGACGCCGCGUGGGGGAUGAAGCUUCUCGGAGUGUAAACCCCUUUCGACCCGGACGAAUGCCCCGCAAGGGGAGUGACGGUACGGGUAUAAGAAGCCCCGGCUAACUACGUGCCAGCAGCCGCGGUA